UACCUGAAGAUAAUUUGUAUUUAAACUACCACCACAAUACAACAUGAUAACUAACAACCACCGAAACAAAGCUGUAAGUGCAGAGUGAUAUAGCAAAGUUUAUUAUACUACAAGUUUACACCAUCAUAUAGCAAAGUGUAUAUGAUGCUAAAGACGGAUCAUAGCGGCAAAAAAGUUAAAUACUUAGAAAAUCAUCUCCUUUGCUAGCUCUAAUGUUUCCUUGUGCCCAAUAAACUUAUCUGCAAUGGCCAGUGCGAACUCCAUGGUAGUUCCUGGUCCUCUGCUGGUAACGAGAUUUCCAUCUACCACCACCCUGUUUUCUGCUUCACUUGGAUCGGAAAGUUUGUUGCACAAGGCUGGAAAGGCAGUAGCCUUUUUACCCUGGAGAAGCCCAUGGGGCUCUAGGACUAGAGCUGGAGAUGCACACAUUGCUCCAUAUGGUUUGCUUGAUUCCCUCUGCUUCUUCAGCAUGUCAACCAACUUUUCUGAUUUGGCAAAUGUUUCGGCACCACCAAGACCGCCUGGUAGGACAAUGAGAUCGUAAGACUGUUUAGCAGCUUCAUCAAGGAGCACAUCUGCAACUAGUUUAACUUUUCUGGAAGCAACAAUCUCCAAUUUAUCUUCCAUAGAUGCCACAACUACUUGAGCGUUUGCUCGCCGAAGUACAUCAAUAAUAAUAGUAGCUUCCAUUUCCUCAGAACCAUUUGCAAUAGGUACAAGAAUCCGUGGCUUACUCGUGAGGGUCCAAUUUACUGAAUUAAGCUCCGCAAAUGCAAAUUCUUCACUGUGAUUUGGGCGCAUCACCAGUGGGCCAGAAACUUCAUUAGCCUUCUCUUUUCCAUACAACUCCUCAACCAACGCAACAGCAUACUCGAUGGAUGUUGCCGGUCCACGACUUGUCACAACUUUUGCAUCCUUUUGGACUCUUGACUCAACAGCAAUGGCAUGAGAUGACAGUUCCUCCAUAUACGAUGGAUAACACGUUGCUUUCAGCCCCUUCAAAAGCCCCCAUGAUCCAAGUGCUAUCGCAGGAGCAGCACAUAUUGCAGCAUAUAGCUUUCCAUUUUCAGCUUGCUUUUUUACAAUACUUUCCAAAAUUUUGCAGUUCCCAAGGUUGGCUGCACCUGGUACCCCUCCCGGAAGCGAAAUAAGGUCAAACUCAGUAUCUACACAAUCCGUAAUUAGAACAUCAGCAACGAUCUUAAUUCCAUACAUCACUUCAAUCUGAAGCUGAUUCCCAACGGAAGCAACAAUAACCUCCGCACCAGCUCUCCGCAGUAUAUCUAUCGGCACUAUAGCCUCAAUCGGCUCUGUUCCAUUCGCAAUCGGAACCAAUACCUUCUUAGUAGCGGAAGCCAUGGCUGAAACUGAAAUUGAAGUUCCUCGAGAGAAUUUUCUAGAGUUGGGAUGAGUGGAGAGAGUGAAAAAUGAUUGAAUUUUGGGGGUUUCGUUGAGUUUUACAAAGGCAGGGAAAGGAGUAGUGAGGUGUCGCAAAAUUGGUGCUGCCAUUUUUAUAAUAAGUUUGAGCUAAAAAGA
rnacentral:misc_RNA from 1 species